rnacentral:lncRNA from 1 species
GGGCUCGUAAUUUGGGGUUGGGUUUAAUGGGUUUGGUUUAGGUUUUAGGCUAGGCUAGUGUUUGGGUAGUUUAGGUUAAAAUGAUUUGGGCCACGUUAGGCCCAUGUAUUUGGACUGUGGACUUUUAAACUUUGGUUUGGUUUAUUUUAUUUUAUUUUUAUAUUUUUGUUUAUUUAUUUCUGAUUUGGGCCGGGCAAAUUUGGGUUAUUACAAUAACUAUUCAAGAAACUGCUUGAAUAGUUGUGUUUAUUUGAUAAAUGUUACCGGAAUAAUUAUAUCUUUUACUUUAUAGUAGUUAUACAUGUUUAAGAGAUAUUAGUUGAACAAUUAUGUCUCUUUUAAAUAUGUGAUUAUUCAUUAAAAAAACACCUAUUGAAAGUUAUG